UGAGGAAUAUUGGUCAAUGGACGGAAGUCUGAACCAGCCAUGCCGCGUGAAGGAUGAAGGCGUUCUGCGUUGUAAACUUCUUUUACCUGGGAAGAAACCACAGAUUUCUAUUUGUGUUGACGGUACCAGAGGAAUAAGCACCGGCUAACUCCGUGCCAGCAGCCGCGGUAAUACGGAGGGUGCGAGCGUUAUCCGGAUUUACUGGGUUUAAAGGGUGCGUAGGCGGGCUAUUAAGUCAGAGGUGAAAUCUCCGGGCUCAACCUGGAAACUGCCUUUGAUACUAUUAGCCUUGAAUUAUGUUGAGGUUGGUGUAAUAUAACAUGUAGCGGUGAAAUGCUUAGAUAUGUUAUGGAACACCGAUUGCGAAGGCAGCUGGCUAAACAUAUAUUGACGCUGAUGCACGAAAGCGUGGGUAGAGAACA
rnacentral:rRNA from 1 species